rnacentral:rRNA from 1 species
UACGUAGGGUGCGAGCGUUAAUCGGAUUUACUGGGCGUAAAGCGUGCGCAGGCGGCCCGUUAAGUCAGGUGUGAAAUCCCUGGGCUCAACCUAGGAAUUGCGCUUGUGACUGGCGGGCUAGAGUACGGGAGAGGGGGGUGGAAUUCCUGGUGUAGCAGUGAAAUGCGUAGAGAUCAGGAGGAACACCGAUGGCGAAGGCAGCCCCCUGGGCCUGUACUGACGCUCAUGCACGAAAGCGUGGGGAGCAAACAGG